rnacentral:rRNA from 1 species
AUUGAACGCUGGCGGCAUGCCUUACACAUGCAAGUCGAACGGUAACGGGCCUUCGGGUGCCGACGAGUGGCGAACGGGUGAGUAAUACAUCGGAACGUGCCCGAUCGUGGGGGAUAACGAGGCGAAAGCUUUGCUAAUACCGCAUACGAUCUACGGAUGACAGCAGGGGACCGCAAGGCCUUGCGCGGACGGAGCGGCCGAUGUCAGAUGAGGUAGUUGGGGGGAUAAAAACUUACCAAGCCGACGAUCUGUAGCUGUUCUGACAGGAGGAUAAGCCACAACGGGACCUAGAAACGGGCCCGACUCCCACGGGAGGGACGAGGUGGGAAUUUUGGACAAUGGGGGCAAGCCGUAUCCAGCCAUAGCGCGUGGGGGAAGAAGGGCUUUGGGGUGGAAAACUCCUUUGUUAGGGAAGAAAAACCCUUUUUUAAAACCAGGGGGUUCUUACGGGACCCAAAAAAAAAACCCCGGGCAAACUAGGG